CGCAGAACCUUACAACCCUUGACAUGGGUAUCGCGGAUCCAGAGAUGGAUCUUUCAGUUCGGCUGGAUACCACACAGGUGCUGCAUGGCUGUCGUCAGCUCGUGUCGUGAGAUGUUCGGUUAAGUCCGGCAACGAGCGCAACCCACAUUCUUAGUUGCCAGCAUUCAGUUGGGCACUCUAGGAAAACUGCCGAUGAUAAGUCGGAGGAAGGUGUGGAUGACGUCAAGUCCUCAUGGCCCUUACGGGUUGGGCUACACACGUGCUACAAUGGCAGUGACAAUGGGUUAAUCCCAAAAAGCUGUCUCAGUUCGGAUUGGGGUCUGCAACUCGACCCCAUGAAGUCGGAAUCGCUAGUAAUCGCGUAACAGCAUGACGCGGUGAAUACGUUCCCGGGCCUU
rnacentral:rRNA from 1 species